UUAUUUAUUCUUUUCAUGAUUUUCAGUGUUCCUUGGGAGAACUAUCUACAAAUGGUACUGGAUCCAAUAAAAAGACUGCAAAACGAAAUGCUGCUGAAUCCAUGUUACAGUUAAUGGGUUACUCUCGACCUCAACCUGGCAAACCAGCAAUUAAGUCAUCAGGUCUAGAUGGUUGUCAUGUUCUGCAAGGCCAAGAAUCUGAGAAAGGACGUAAGGUGACUUUUCUGGAUCAUGAAGG